AUUGAACGCUGGCGGAAUGCUUUACACAUGCAAGUCGAACGGCAGCACGGACUUCGGUCUGGUGGCGAGUGGCGAACGGGUGAGUAAUACAUCGGAACGUGCCCAGCCGUGGGGGAUAACGUAGCGAAAGCUACGCUAAUACCGCAUACGAUCUAAGGAUGAAAGCGGGGGAUCGCAAGACCUCGCGCGAUUGGAGCGGCCGAUGGCAGAUUAGGUAGUUGGUGGGGUAAAGGCCUACCAAGCCGACGAUCUGUAGCUGGUCUGAGAGGACGACCAGCCACACUGGGACUGAGACACGGCCCAGACUCCUACGGGAGGCAGCAGUGGGGAAUUUUGGACAAUGGGCGCAAGCCUGAUCCAGCCAUUCCGCGUGCAGGAUGAAGGCCCUCGGGUUGUAAACUGCUUUUGUACGGAACGAAAAGGCUCUGGUUAAUACCCGGGGCUCAUGACGGUACCGUAAGAAUAAGCACCGGCUAACUACGUGCCAGCCGCCGCCGUAAAAC
rnacentral:rRNA from 1 species